rnacentral:rRNA from 1 species
UGCCCUUUACUCGGGGAUAGCCUUUCGAAAGAAGGAUUAAUACCCGAUGGAUAAUCAUUCCGCAUGGUUAGAUUAUUAAAGGAUUCCGGUAAAGGAUGGGGAUGCGUUCCAUUAGGUUGUUGGUGAGGUAACGGCCCACCAAGCCUUCGAUGGAUAGGGGUUCUGAGAGGAAGGUCCCCCACAUUGGAACUGAGACACGGUCCAAAACUCCUACGGGAGGCAGCAGUGAGGAAUAUUGGUCAAUGGGCGCGAGCCUGAACCAGCCAAGUAGCGUGAAGGAUGACUGCCCUAUGGGUUGUAAACUUCUUUUAUAUUAGAAUAAAGUGCAGUAUGUAUACUGUUUUGUAUGUAUAAUAUGAAUAAGGAUCGGCUAACUCCGUGCCAGCAGCCGCGGUAAUACGGAGGAUCCGAGCGUUAUCCGGAUUUAUUGGGUUUAAAGGGAGCGUAGGUGGACUGGUAAGUCAGUUGUGAAAGUUUGCGGCUCAACCGUAAAAUUGCAGUUGAUACUGUCAGUCUUGAGUACAGUAGAGGUGGGCGGAAUUCGUGGUGUAGCGCGUGAAAUGCUUAGAUAUCACGAAGACUCCGAUUGCGAAGGCAGCUCACUGGACUGCAACUGACACUGAUG